rnacentral:rRNA from 1 species
UUCCAGACUCCUACGGGAGGCAGCAGUGGGGAAUAUUGCACAAUGGGGGGAACCCUGAUGCAGCAAUGCCGCGUGAAGGAAGAAGGCUUUCGGGUUGUAAACUUCUUUUCUCAGGGACGAAGAAAGUGACGGUACCUGAGGAAUAAGCCACGGCUAACUACGUGCCAGCAGCCGCGGUAAUACGUAGGUGGCAAGCGUUAUCCGGAUUUACUGGGUGUAAAGGGCGUGUAGGCGGGACUGCAAGUCAGAUGUGAAAACCAUGGGCUCAACCUGUGGCCUGCAUUUGAAACUGUAGUUCUUGAGUACUGGAGAGGCAGACGGAAUUCCUAGUGUAGCGGUGAAAUGCGUAGAUAUUAGGAGGAACACCAGUGGCGAAGGCGGUCUGCUGGACAGCAACUGACGCUGAGGCGCGAAAGCGUGGGGAGCAAACAGGAUUAGAUACCCGUGUA